rnacentral:rRNA from 1 species
GACGGAGGGUGCGAGCGUUGUUCGGAUUGACUGGGCGUAAAGGGCGUGUAGGCGGUCGGCCAAGUCUGAUGUGAAAGCCCGGGGCUCAGCCUCGGAAGUGCGUCGGAAACUAGUCGGCUGGAGCGCGAUAGAGGAGGGUGGAAUUCCUGGUGUAGCGGUGAAAUGCGUAGAUAUCAGGAGGAACACCGGCGGCGAAGGCGGCCCUCUGGAUCGUUGCUGACGCUGAGACGCGAAAGCGUGGGGAGCAAACAGG